rnacentral:rRNA from 1 species
GAACGCGCGUCGUCUCCGGAUCGUGUCUCCAAGUAGCGCGGGACUCGUGGAAUCCCGUGUGAAUCCGCCCCGACCGUGGGGUAAGCCUAGAUAUACCUGUCUGACCGAUAGCGAACUAGUACCGUGAGGGAAAGGUGAAAAGCACCCCGGGAGGGGAGUGAAACAGUCUCUGAAACCGUGCGCUUACAAACCGUCGGAGCCUUUCGGGGUGACGGCGUGCCUAUCGAAAAAUGAGUCUGCGAGUCAGUGGCACGUGGCGAGCGUAACCCGUGUGGGGUACGCGUAGCGAAGGCGAGUCUCAAAAGGCGUUUGAGUCGCGUGUCCUGGACCCGAAGCGGGAUGAUCUAGCCCUGAGCAGGUUGAAGCGCGGGUAAGACCGCGUGGAGGACCGAACCCACCUGGGUUGAAAACCGGGGGGAUGACUUGGGGUUAGGGGUGAAAGGCC